rnacentral:rRNA from 1 species
UACGUAGGGUGCAAGCGUUGUCCGGAAUUAUUGGGCGUAAAGAGCUCGUAGGCGGUUUGUCACGUCGGAUGUGAAAUCCCUCGGCUUAACCGAGGAACUGCCUGCCAGACUGUGAGGCUUGAGACCGGGAGAGGUGAGUGGAAUUCCCAGUGUAGCGGUGAAAUGCGUAGAUAUUGGGAGGAACACCAGUGGCGAAGGCGGCUCACUGGACCGGAACUGACGCUGAGGCGCGAAAGCGUGGGGAGCAAACAGG